CAUGCAGCAGCUCUGGGCUCCGCACGCGACCACGACAGUCGCGACACCACAACAACUCCUCCACUUUCUUCGAUCUCCGACCACCCUAAGACUGCGCACCAGCAUCAAUCUCUUCGUCUUGGUGUCUCCAUCACGUCCCCUACCUUCGUUCACCGAAUUGUCAGCUAUGGAGAGAGAAUCGGCGCCAAGAAGCUUCGACUGCUCCGGCGGCUUCCUGGCGACUCCGGCCACCGAUUGGACUGCUUGUGGUAUGGAACUCACUCCCCGUGUCGUGCUCUACGUUUUAGUAUAAUUAGAUUUUCGAUUUGAUCAAGUUUUGACAAUUUCAUUUCUGGGUUCAUCUUGGUUCCAUCGCUGUCUCGGAUGCCGGCGACUCUUUCCGGCAUUUCUGGGCUUGCUUGCUACAUGGAAGAAUAUCCAUUCUUUGUUCUCUACACGCUGGUGUACGUAAUCUUUGAGUUCGACCAAGUUUUUGAAGAAGCUACGUUUGGGAACACUCGGCCUCCACCGAGGUUCUGUUUUCGUGACCUGUUCUGGUUUAUCUUUCGACUCGGUUUUAGUACUGGAAUGUGGAUUGAGGCUUAGUUGUGUUGAACACAUAUUUGGCAAGGUUGGGAAAUAAUCGAGAAAAGUGGGAGGCUCCUGGUUGCUGUGUUCUUCGUCAGUAGCAUUGAUCCUGCAAAUUGUACCACUGAAGUUUUGUUAAAGGACUCGAGCGUGUGCACUUGGAUUUGGACAAGGAAUCGAAAGUCGGGAAUGAACCCAAAUGUGGACGAGCACUCCAAUUCCAGUGUGCAGGUUUUGAGCAUGUGGUCGGGGAGCGUAUAGGAGUGGCACAUGGCCCGGCUUGGCGUAUUCCUCUUUGUCUUUACUAAAGUACGGUUUUGGGUCCAUUAUCAGAUUUCGAAGUAACUUAUUUAUUUACUUUCUUACUAAUUUAUUUAUUUA